ACCGGCAAAGACAAGAACAAGUUCAAGGGACAAAAAAAGACAAAUUACACAAACUGCUCUAACCAUAACACAAUGGAAGGAAAAUGCCUCUUCGCGCGAAGUAUAACCAAGCCGAAGCCUCUUUAGUACGUUCACUCGUUAUAUAAAAUUUUGGAGGAAAAAAUGGAAUUUUGUUUCUAGGAUUUUUCGGACAUAAGGCUACCGCACCACGUUACCUGACAAUUUGGUUGACGAAUACUGAAGCCCGCUGCUGCUGGGCAACGAUUGGCCAUUCGUGGGCGUUUGCUGAUGGCAGCGGAUGGGCCGCCAUAAUUCAUCAGACAUGGCCGCAUGGGAGCGCUCAGGUCAUCAGGCUAUCCGCACUCAUAGAACCCUAAAUUUCUACUCUAAAAGGAAUAUUUCAUCCUGGUCAGCGAGAUUCUCUACCCUAUCCCAUAAUACUCCGCGGUCAUAUUUACUCUAAAUAUCUACCCUAUACCAUAUACCAUAUAUUCUAUUAUUUAUUUUCACCUCUUUCCUUUCCACACCCAACUAGCAGCCAAUAGAAAGAGGAGGGAGAUUAUUCAGUCCACCGCAGAAGGUGCGCUAGCUGUGAAGUUCCUGAGAGCCGUAAAAAUUUACAGUUCCUGUUGCAGUCCGCCGCUGCAUCGUUUGUGAGAGCUGUAAAAAUUUACAGUUCCUGUUUGCAGUCGCGACUGCGGAUAGCCUCAGGGUGACAAAGUCGCAAUAAGGACACUCCUAAAACUACAAGGCUACAACUUGCUUGAUGCCGUGCUUUCCAGAUUGCUCAUCUUCCUCCUUGUCGCGGUAGCUAGCGUUGCCUUCUCUCUCAUCUGUCUAUCUCAGCAACUGCGAACUUCACCUCUCCUUUGUAUCAUUAGUAAGAAGCAGCAGCAGUGUACAACCAUCCCCUAAACGAAAAAGAACAAACUGUGGGUUUCUAAAUCGCAAGCGGUGCUGGGAAAUCUCGGCGCUACGUACAACAACAACAAGAAGAAGAAACAGCACAGCACAAAGUGCAGAUCUUUUUUCCCCCUAGGAGUCUAGGACAAACAUUGGACCACUGCUAGAUCAUGGGCAGUUUACUGAUAAAGUACGCAUACG
rnacentral:lncRNA from 1 species